UGUCAUUGAUGCUUUAUUUACAUGCGUCACCAUUGCUUUUACAAACUAGAUUACGGUUUUAAAUGGAAUACACAAGGCAAUACCUACAAACACCAAGGAAAGUUAAGUACUGCAUCUCUAUUUCACUUGGAAAGGAGAAGAUUCCCAAAUCAAACUGGUUUUGGAUUCUUGAGACAAAAGGUGGUAGAGAUAUUUCAUGGUAACAUAUGGACAGACAAAAUCCUCAGUAAGAAUGCAAUAUGAUAGUGUUCGCUUUGAAAGAAAGGAUGAGGUGCUUCAAACCAAAGGAUCAACUGCAUGACUCUCAGGUGUUUGAAUACAGCCAUGCACCACACUGAGUUCUAGUUUGUAUGGGGUAUGAGCAAGAAAUUGAAACAGAUAAGACAGUUUUACAGAUACUGUAUACAGAUUUUUUUUCCAUUCAUGCAACUUUUUUCUUAAAAAAAAAAUGUUAAACAUGUGAAGCCAAAACAUACAUUUUUCUUUAUUAUCAACUUUUUUUUUCUGGUCCUCCUUCACAUCUGUUUACAUUUCCUGUGUACAUAAUGUGCUAGGACAACUAUAUUGAGAGAAGAUUGAUUGCCAGGCAAUGAGAUAAUUUUAGAGAAAUAAGUGACCAGACACACAGCUUUUUUUUUUUUUUAAAG
rnacentral:lncRNA from 1 species